CGGCGCCAUUGCAGUUCCGCUCUAAGGAGGUGUCCAAGAGCAACGUGGUGGACGACAUGGUGCAGAGCAACCCAGUGCUCUAUACGCCCGGCGAAGAGCCUGACCACUGCGUGCGUGGGGCACGGGCGCGGGCGCGGGGUUGCCCGGCGAGGGGUGGCAGGGACCCGGGCAAACUCCUGCUGCACUCCAGGUGGUCAUCAAGUAUGUGCCGUACGUGGGUGACAGCAAGCGCGCGCUGGAUGAGUAUACCUCGGAGCUGAUGCUGGGCGGAACCAACACACUGGUGCUGCACAACACGUGCGAGGUGCGGCGCGGCUUCAGGGGCUGCUAUGGGAGGCAGGGCUUGGCCACCGCCCCCAUCUCCUGACCCACCCGCCCCGCAGGACUCGCUGCUGGCCGCACCCAUCAUGCUGGACCUGGCGCUGCUGACCGAGCUGUGCCAGCGCGUGAG
rnacentral:sRNA from 1 species